rnacentral:rRNA from 1 species
GUUCCAGUCCAACGUUAAUCGGGGCUGGGUGAGUCGACCCCUAAGGCGAGGCCGAAAGGCGUAGUCGAUGGGAAAAUGGUUAAUAUUCCAUUACUUCUGUGUAAUGCGAUGAGAGGACGGAGAAGGCUAAAUCAGCCUGGCGUUGGUUGUCCAGGUGAAAGGAUGUAGGCAUGUAUCUUAGGCAAAUCCGGGGUACUCUAUGCUGAGAUCUGAUAGCAAGCUGUACUUGUACAGCGAAGUGGUUGAUGCCAUGCUUCCAGGAAAAGUCUCUAAGCUUCAGUUACACAGGAAUCGUACCCGAAACCGACACAGGUGGUCAGGUCGAGUAGACCAAGGCGCUUGAGAGAACUCUGCUGAAGGAACUAGGCAAAAUGGUACCGUAACUUCGGGAGAAGGUACGCUGUUGUUGGUGAUGGAACUCGCUUCCUGAGCUGACGACAGCCGCAGAAACCAGGCCGCUGCAACUGUUUAUUAAAAACAUAGCACUCUGCAAACACGAAAGUGGACGUAUAGGGUGUGAUGCCUGCCCGGUGCUGGAAGGUUAAUUGAUGGGGUUAGCGUAAGCGAAGCUCUUGAUCGAAGCCCCAGUAAACGGCGGCCGUAACUAUAACGGUCCUAAGGUAGCGAAAUUCCUUGUCGGGUAAGUUCCGACCUGCACGAAUGGCAUAAUGAUGGCGGCGCUGUCUCCAGCAGAGGCUCAGUGAAAUCGAAAUCGCUGUGAAGAUGCAGUGUACCCGCGGCUAGACGGAAAGACCCCGUGAACCUUUACUGCAGCUUGACACUGAACUUUGACCUUACUUGUGUAGGAUAGGUGGGAGGCUUUGAAGCUGGAACGCUAGUUCCAGUGGAGCCGUCCUUGAAAUACCACCCUGGUAAUGUUGAGGUUCUAACUCUGUCCCGUGAUCCGGGACGAGGACCGUGUCUGGUGGGUAGUUUGACUGGGGCGGUCUCCUCCUAAAGAGUAACGGAGGAGUACGAAGGUGCGCUCAGCGUGGUCGGAAAUCACGCGUAGAGUAUAAAGGCAAAAGCGCGCUUAACUGCGAGACCCACAAGUCGAGCAGGUACGAAAGUAGGUCUUAGUGAUCCGGUGGUUCUGUAUGGAAGGGCCAUCGCUCAACGGAUAAAAGGUACUCUGGGGAUAACAGGCUGAUACCGCCCAAGAGUUCAUAUCGACGGCGGUGUUUGGCACCUCGAUGUCGGCUCAUCUCAUCCUGGGGCUGAAGCAGGUCCCAAGGGUAUGGCUGUUCGCCAUUUAAAGAGGUACGCGAGCUGGGUUUAGAACGUCGUGAGACAGUUCGGUCCCUAUCUACCGUGGGCGCUGGAAAUUUGAGAGGAUCUGCUCCUAGUACGAGAGGACCAGAGUGGACGAACCUCUGGUGUACCGGUUGUGACGCCAGUCGCAUCGCCGGGUAGCUAUGUUCGGAAGGGAUAACCGCUGAAAGCAUCUAAGCGGGAAGCCUACCUCAAGAUAAGAUUUCCCUAGGACUUUAUGUCCUCUAAAGAGCCGUUCGAGACUAGGACGUUGAUAGGUUGGAUGUGGAAGCAUAGUGAUAUGUGAAGCUGACCAAUACUAAUUGCUCGUGAGGCUUGACUAUACAACACCCAAGCAGUUG